rnacentral:piRNA from 1 species
UACUUCUGAUAAUCUCCGUGUUUUGGGAGG